rnacentral:tRNA from 1 species
CUCCUCCUGGGCUGGCCGCUGGUGCGCCGGGUGCUGCCCCGCAGGGGCGCCCGGACCUGAUCGAACGCCGGGUUCGACUCCCGGGGCGCGGCCC